rnacentral:rRNA from 1 species
GACGAACGCUGGCGGCGUGCCUAAUACAUGCAAGUAGAACGCUGAAGAGAGGAGCUUGCUCUUCUUGGAUGAGUUGCGAACGGGUGAGUAACGCGUAGGUAACCUGCCUUGUAGCGGGGGAUAACUAUUGGAAACGAUAGCUAAUACCGCAUAACAAUGGAUGACACAUGUCAUUUAUUUGAAAGGGGCAAUUGCUCCACUACAAGAUGGACCUGCGUUGUAUUAGCUAGUAGGUGAGGUAAUGGCUCACCUAGGCGACGAUACAUAGCCGACCUGAGAGGGUGAUCGGCCACACUGGGACUGAGACACGGCCCAGACUCCUACGGGAGGCAGCAGUAGGGAAUCUUCGGCAAUGGGGGCAACCCUGACCGAGCAACGCCGCGUGAGUGAAGAAGGUUUUCGGAUCGUAAAGCUCUGUUGUAAGUCAAGAACGGGUGUGAGAGUGGAAAGUUCACCCUGUGACGGUAGCUUACCAGAAAGGGACGGCUAACUACGUG